UCCAGGAGAGGAGGUGCUCGGAGGAAAGGGCGGGGGUUGCUGAUGUAAUGGGGAGAAGUGAUUAAUCCUUCAUUUCGUCGUUCCCCCACCCCCGAUUUUUUAAGCGGAAAAAAGUGGAGCAAGGAAGCCAGUCUUUGAUUUCUGAAGAUGAAGGUGACAGAAAUGUGCCCGGAUGUGAGUGGAAGACCAAGAAGGAGUUCUACCACUUAAUGGCUGUCUAACCUGAAGCAAAUUCCUCAACCUCUGUGUUUAUUUCUGCAUCUGUAAAAUGGGGAUGCUGAUAGUCCUCAUUUUGUGGGAUUGUCAUGAGUUAAGUAAUGAAUACCGUGGCUGGGGUCACAACCCCAGCAUGUGUGAGGCACUGGGUUUGA